CAGCCGCCGCGGUAAUACAGAGGAUGCAAGCGUUAUCCGGAAUGAUUGGGCGUAAAGCGUCUGUAGGUGGCUUUUCAAGUCCGCCGUCAAAUCCCAGGGCUCAACCCUGGACAGGCGGUGGAAACUACCAAGCUGGAGUACGGUAGGGGCAGAGGGAAUUUCCGGUGGAGCAGUGAAAUGCGUAGAUAUGCGGAGGAACACCGAUGGCGAAGGCAAUCCCCUGGGCCUGCACUGACGCUCAUGCACGAAAGCGUGGGGAGCAAACAGGAUUAGAUACCCGCGUAGUCCCUGUCUCUUAUAC
rnacentral:rRNA from 1 species